GGCUUUAUAGUCAAAAAUGAUAUUAAACUGCAAUUCUAAAGGAGUGGUGUUAUACCAACUAAGGCUU
rnacentral:tRNA from 1 species